rnacentral:rRNA from 1 species
AGAGUUUGAUCAUGGCUCAGAUUGAACGCUGGCGGAAUGCUUUACACAUGCAAGUCGAACGAUGAACCUUAGCUUGCUAGGGGGAUUAGUGGCGAACGGGUGGGUAAUAUAUCGGAACGUGCCUUGUAAUGGGGGAUAACUAGUCGAAAGAUUAGCUAAUACCGCAUACGCCCUGAGGGGGAAAGUAGGGGAUCUUCGGACCUUACGUUAUAAGAGCGGCCGAUAUCUGAUUAGCUAGUUGGUGGGGUAAUGGCCUACCAAGGCUUCGAUCAGUAGCUGGUCUGAGAGGACGACCAGCCACACUGGAACUGAGACACGGUCCAGACUCCUACGGGAGGCAGCAGUGGGGAAUUUUGGACAAUGGGCGCAAGCCUGAUCCAGCCAUUCCGCGUGAGUGAAGAAGGCCUUCGGGUUGUAAAGCUCUUUCGCAAGGGAAGAAAACUUACUUUCUAAUAAAGAGUGAGGCUGACGGUACCUUGAUAAGAAGCACCGGCUAACUACGUGCCAGCAGCCGCGGUAAUACGUAGGGUGCGAGCGUUAAUCGGAAUUACUGGGCGUAAAGCGUGCGCAGGCGGUUUGGCAAGUCAGAUGUGAAAUCCCCGAGCUCAACUUGGGAACUGCGUUUGAAACUGCCAGACUAGAAUAUGUCAGAGGGGGGUAGAAUUCCACGUGUAGCAGUGAAAUGCGUAGAGAUGUGGAG